rnacentral:rRNA from 1 species
UACGAAGGGGGCUAGCGUUGCUCGGAAUCACUGGGCGUAAAGCGCACGUAGGCGGCUUUUUAAGUCGGAGGUGAAAUCCUGGAGCUCAACUCCAGAACUGCCUUUGAUACUGGAGAGCUUGAGUCCGGGAGAGGUGAGUGGAACUGCGAGUGUAGAGGUGAAAUUCGUAGAUAUUCGCAAGAACACCAGUGGCGAAGGCGGCUCACUGGCCCGGUACUGACGCUGAGGUGCGAAAGCGUGGGGAGUAAACAGG